rnacentral:rRNA from 1 species
UGGGGAAUAUUGCACAAUGGGCGAAAGCCUGAUGCAGCAACGCCGCGUGAGGGACGACGGCCUUCGGGUUGUAAACCUCUUUUAGCAAGGAAGAAGCGAAAGUGGCGGUACUUGCAGAAAAAGCGCCGGCUAACUACGUGCCAGCAGCCGCGGUAAUACGUAGGGCGCAAGCGUUAUCCGGAAUUAUUGGGCGUAAAGAGCUCGUAGGCGGUUUGUCGCGUCUGCUGUGAAAACCCGAGGCUCAACCUCGGGCCUGCAGUGAGUACGGGCAGACUAGAGUGCGUAGGGAGAUUGGAACUCCUGGUGUAGCGGUGGAAUGCGCAGAUAUCAGGAAGAACACCGAUGGCGAAGGCAGAUCUCUGGGCCGUAACUGACGCUGAGGAGCGAAAGGGUGGGGAGCAAACAGGCUUAGAUACCCUGGUAGUCCACCCCGUAAACGUUGGGAACUAGUUGUGGGGGUCCAUUCCACGGAUUCCGUGACGCAGCUAACGCAUUAAGUUCCCCGCCUGGGGAGUCGGCCGCAAGCUAAAACUCAAAUGAAUUGACGGGGUCAUAGCUGUUUCCUG